GACACAGGCUGUCUACAGCAUACAACAAAAAGCAGGGAAUUGGCAACACCACCAGGCGCACACUGGGACGCUCGUUUUUGUACCUGCAACAGUGGGACUUUGAGAAGCCAAGAGCAGCACCCACGCACUUCGCGUGACUCUUACACACCAGCAGCUCCGGGCACAGCCGAGCCUCAGGUGUGCACGAGGCCACUUGCAGAGAGCUGCCAGCCGGGACACGCCGGCACGAGCCCGCCCUCACACCGCGCGCGGCGGCCGCUGAGCACCGACCCGCCCCUCAGCUGCUGCGAGCCGCCAUCGGCACACCCCUUUCCGCCGGAGUGACGCAUGCGUGCUAGGAGACGGAGCGUUACUUACCCAAAUAACAUGUGGUAAGAAGUCAAGCCCUGAGGAAUUGUUAGGUGGAAAUAGAUGAUCCUUCUGUGGCUUUAUAUACAUCCUACCCUACUUGAGCAAAGUCCAGAGAAUCUCUUAGUGCUGCUUAGGGAAAUUUUAUCAGCAUCAGUAUAAUAUUAAGAGGAGGAAUCAAGCAAUUAAUUUCUUUCAAGGUUAGAAAUUGUUUAUGUGUGGAACAUGUUCGUGUCAAACUGUCUGGAUUUUGGCUGAGAAAUCUGCUUUCUUCGGGAGCUUUCACUGAACUGGAGUGGUGGAGGUGUUUCAGGUUCAUGUACCCAAAGGAUAACGUUUAUCAUGCUCCGGUUCGGCCAGCACUUCAUCAAGCCCUCUGUGGUCUUCCUGAAGACCGAGCUCUCCUUUGCUCUCGUGAACCGCAAGCCAGUGGUCCCGGGCCAUGUUCUCGUUUGCCCUCUGCGGCCAGUGGAGCGUUUCCGUGACCUGUGUCCCGAGGAGGUGGCUGAUUUAUUUUGCACGGCGCAAAGGGUUGGCAACGCAGUGGAGAAACACUUCUGUGCCACCUCACUCACCAUCGCAAUUCAGGAUGGCCCUGAGGCUGGACAAACGGUGAAGCACGUUCAUGUCCACGUCCUUCCAAGGAGAUCGGGAGACUUCAGCAGGAAUGAUGAUGUCUACAAGGAGUUGCAGGGACAUGACAAAGAGGAUUCCCCUGACAAGUGGAGGACAGAAGAGGAAAUGGCAGCUGAAGCAGCAAUUCUGAAGAAGUAUUUUCAAGAAAAUUAAAGGUAACAACGUGUCUGAAAAACAUCCUGUGACAUAAGGAAGACCUCAUUCUCCAGUUCUCGGCAGCCCUGGAGUUGCAGCUGAACGAUUUUAUUAUGGUCUACAAAUAGGGGAUUCUUCCGUGAAAAAUUUUAUUGGACCUUUGGAUAUCAUCAAGGACGAAUUUCAGCUAAGACAACUAACAGCGCUGAUUCAAAGUACUGCUCUGAGUAGUAGAGUAAAUGAAAAGGCCAUUUUGAUGGUUUCUGCACUUUUUGGACCCUGAACAAGGGCUGAAUAAACAGGAAAUGAAGGUCAGGGAGCAAGAAGUGACGGAGGAGAAAAGGUGAGCAGACAGGCUGGCAGAUGGGCCAAUAUGAAUGGUUGCCCUUUUGCACUUUAAAUAUUUAAAGUGUCUGUGAUUCUGCGAAGAAAGAAAACAAAGGUUGCUCUAGUGGGAAAAUGCUAAAUGGAAAACCUGAGCAUCCAUUACAUUUCCAAACCGUAGUGGCUUCCAAUUAAGUAUGGAAUGUUCUGUAUUAAUGCCGUAGCCCAUGAUGAGCGGGCGCUGUGCCAACCAUUUUGCACGGGGGCUGCUGAGCAGAUGAGUACUGAGCUGUAUGGAACAUUUCAUUUGUGUAAAUGAGGAGGCCGUUAUCACAGCACUGAAGGUCCUGUUUUUAAAAAAAGCCUCCUGUGGCAUUAUGCACAAAACAACCUAUUUAUGCAGCAUGAAAAUAUUUAUGUGCUGAGCUCCAGCUUUAAAAGGGAAUUUGCAAUAGAUGAGGGACAGGAGAAAGGAUUGGAGUGAGAGAUAAGAAGAGAUUAGAAAAGGCAGAUCAUGAAGUACAUGACAUCCUGCAGCAGUAUGUAGAGUAACUCCCCUACCCUUUUUUAAGACCUGAGCUUUAGGGAUGGGGUCUGGAUCAUUCAUAUCUUUCCUAUAGACUUAUUUUUCUUCACACAGGGUGUUCUGUACAAUGGUACAGUUGCUGAAAGUGCAAGGAUACCCUGUGCUGAAGGCAUUGCUGGUCUUUGUAAGCUAAGCUUUUUGUUUCCAGCCUUAAUCACUGUACUUGUACUGGGACUUGGGUCGUGUCCAGCAUGCAGCAUGCCCAGGGCUUGCCUUUAACUGGAUGAUGCUGUAAGGUACUGAGCUCCUCCACUGAGAAGAGAAAACACAGGAAAAAUCAGAAAGGUGAAGAGCAGCUUGCUGUGCAGGGCUUAGGUGGACAUGGUGCAAAUGGAGCAGUCCCAGCACUGUGGCUUCCUAACACAGGGCAGAGCUGAUUGUGCUUGCUGUUAAUGGCUUGGGACCAUGUUCCUAUCUUUAUACACAGGCAAAUUUCCCAGUUUUUUUCCAUUAGUAAAAGUUUACUUUGUUGAAGUGAGCAGUUCCUCCAAGGGGAUGCAGUGACUAUGCCUGCGUGCCUCUGUUUUCAUUAGCAGAAUAGCUGUGUUUCAGCUGCGUUGCUCUUCAUUGACUUUGUAGGAACAGGCUGGGAGAAAGAUGUGGCUCCAGCUGCCCUCUUAGCCCUGCCUGCUUUGAAACAGAAAUUGCAGAAAAGCUGUCUCUUGCACCAUUAGUCCUGUAAGCAGGAGCACAGCCAGGUUACUGGGAGCAUGCAGAGGAGCCUGUCAGGGAGCACCGACCCAUUGGGGACACUGUUGGUCCAUGGACUUGGGCCCUGCCACACCAGGCAGCCCUGGCGUACAGUGCCAUCUGAAAGCCACCUGGCACCAUCUGCUCACACAGAGAUUUUUGGGGCUGGGCAAAAACAUUAGGAAUCAGCUCCGAAGGCUUUGGCAUAGCAGGAGCCUGGGCCUGUGUUGUGCUAUGCAAGGUCACAAUACCUUUCUUCUGCCCCUCUGCUCCUGGUUUUCCAAGAAUGCUCAUCUAGACCACAGUUACAGUUCUUUGUGCAGCUUAGGUGGCUACUUGUCCUGUGGCGAAUCUGCUUGCACUAAGGCAGUCAGGUAGUAUUCUAGUGCUUCCAGUGAGAACAGGAGGAGGAUUUUUUUUUUAAUUAUCUUUCAGCAAUUCAGCAUCAUUAUCCCUCCAGAUUUAGGAGAAUCCUUCCCAGCAUCAGCCUCCAGCCCUUCACGUGGGGUCAGUUGCUCCUGAGAUGGCUCAAAGGCGCUCACAUGCUGAUGGACCAAGGGACCAGGAGUGUGCCAUGUCCUCUUCUUGAAGUCUUUGUGCAGUGCUUCAGAAAUCAGCACCGUGCUGCUUGUAACCCCUCAGAAACACACACAUCCCUCCCCCAUGUGUCAAGCUCUCAUUUGAUCAGUAGCUCAGAUAGCACAGUGCUUAGUUUUUAAUUAAUGUUUCAAAAAGGGAAAAAUUGAGAGUUUGGUCUCUGUAGCCUGAGUUGGCUGCUGACACACAAAGAUGUCUGAGACGGAGGCUCCUGGCUGGAAUCGGGGGGGAGCUGAGGUCAGCUCCUGCCUUGUGACAGCACCCUGAAAGGCAUCUGGGGACUAAGCACCGCCUGAAAUAAAUUUUUAAAAAGUCAUGCAUGGUCUGUGAAGCAAUAAAAAUCAGUGCUCCACUACCACCAGAGCUAAAGGAAAACUUUUAAUUCUAACUACUCAGACUGACAGCCAUGAAAGUACCUAAUUCACUUCUAUCUCAGCUCUCUAUGUCCUCCUGUCGACUCCUCAUCUUUAGCUGUCACUGUGGUCCUGCUCCUGUGUCUAGUCCCAAACGUACAGGCCAGCAGUGUGGGGAAGGAGAAAAUGCUGCUGCUGCUCAUGUAAGUUGUCCUGAGUGUUGGCAGAGCUGUGAGUUUCAGAACAGAGUGAUGUAUUUCAGCUGUUGUGAAAUUCCUGAAUAAUCAGCUCAUCAAAAAAUAUCAUGCAGAGUUCCCUUGUAGCCUGCUCCAACCUGCCACCUCUCCUGCCAAUAGCUCUGUAGGGUGACCACUGCCUGGCACAGCCCAUUAACAGAGGUCUGCACAAUUGCUCAUGAAUAGAGCUGGCUGGAAAAUGCAAUUUUUCUUCUUGUGGGGAAAAAAAAAAAAGAGAUUAUUAGGACAAGAGUCUUUCUAGCUUUGCAUUUCAGGAUGAAGAUUUCCUCCACUGUUCCCUCCAGCACCCUACUCCCCACCCCACUUUUUUGGAAGGCAACUCCAGGAAAAUAAGAAUCGCAUUUCAAGUGGCCAUGUGACUGCUGUUUGCCCUACUGAUGAGCUCCUGUUGGCCCCAAGGGUGGGAGUCUUACUGCAGGACAUGCGCCUUCUCAAGGUGGUGCUCCUGGGUGAUGUGUCCUAGGAACUGCAUUUUUUACUACUGCUACUCAGUCUCCUGUCUGAAGAGCUGUCGAGCAGCUACAAAACCACCAAAUAGGAGCUAAUGGCCUUAAGUUGCACCAGGAGAGGUUCAUGCUGAAUACUGAGUAAAAUUUCUUCUCAGAAAGAGGGGUGAGGUAUUGGAACAGGCUCACCAGUUUGGUGCGGAGUCACCAUCCCUGGAGGUGUUCAAGGAACAUGGAAGCAUCGUAACAUGUGAGUUGAUAUGGGUCGGUGGGGAUGGCACGAUGGUUGGAGGGGAUGAUGUUAGAGGUCUUUUCCAACCUUAAUGAUUCUAUGACUCUAUCCCCCAUAGAUUCUAUGACUCUAAUCCCUCUAUACCUACCUGAAAGGGCAGGUAUUGGAAGGGUUGACCUGUCCUGCCCACAGCUGUUCCUCAGCAUGUGGCCUACUGCAUGUGCUCUGGGGGGAUGGCCCAGACAGGGCCCCUGCGUCCUCAUCAGUGCAAAAUUGUGGUCCCCUGCUUUUAGUCACACCAUGUGAGAUACACACGUGGUACACACAAACAAGAGCAUGCUUGAAACUCAAGCUUCUUAGGUAAGUAAAUAUGUUAAAAUAGCAAACAAGCCAUUGAAAAGCAACAGAAAGUCACCAGUCGCAAAAUGGAAGCUGCUCCUCUGUUCUCCACCACGGCAGCGCCGAUCCCCACUGCAGAGGAGGAUUUACUAAGAACAGACAACCUUCAUUUCAGGUAUUCUGUCUUUUGUCCUCAUAUCACAACAUUAACAUUAUCCCCACAUAAUUUUGUGUAUUUAAUUUUACAAUAGACUGUGCCAGUGAGCACUGCCUGUAAAUAUUUGAUCACUGCCAUUCCUCUAGGAUUAUCUUAUCAAGAGUAAAGAUAUUAAAAUAGAAAUCUUGUCAUGUUACUGCCUUUAUACUUCCAGCCUGAGAGUUGAUUGACAGAAAAUGAACUGCCUGAACUAGCUCUAAAGUGUCUUUUCACUGAGAGCUUCAAUGCCAGAGGCUAUAGAAAAAAAGGUAGCUAGUCAUCAGAAACUAAUGCCUUGCUGUAGUUAUGGAGCUUUUGUACUGAAGAUUAAAAAUGUGAAUCUACUAGGGGUAUUUUUACAAGUGUAAAAUGGUGGUGGUCUUUUUUGUAUCUUUUUGCCAUCUCUAAUGAGCCUUAAGAAGAGCCUUCCCUUUCCUCCCUGUAGUUGAAUAUUCGAUGCAGCCCAACCGCAGCUCUCAGACAUGGGCUGAUAUUUUGCAAGAGUAAGCUCUUGACUUAUCUAACCUACAAAAUUUCUUUUUCAUGAUAAAAUGGAUUGCAAGCCAGGACUGAAUGUUCCUGCCUAGCUUGGAAUAUCAAACCACAAUAGACAAGUCCAGUUUUCUGUUUAUGGCCAGUUAAAACACACCAGUAAUGCUGUUUUAAUGUUCCAAAAUUACUCUGAAAUUGUCAUGUGUCUGAAGAGCACCAUGCUGUAAAUACAUCGCCAUUCCCUGAGGGCUCAGCCAGCCCCUGCUCCAGCACAAAUCAAUGAGAGUUUUGCUGGGGUAAGGACCUGAGCACAAUUCAGGAAAGUGCCUAAGCACGAGUAAACUUUAAUCACAAGCUCUUGCUUCUUAGAAAUCAAUAAAGACUUAAGCAGGGGCUUAAGUGCUCUUUUCUGGGGGGGGGAGGGGCCAAGAAUUCCCAGCAUCUGGAAUAAAUCUGGCUCUGUCUCAUCAUGAUCCUAGAGGGCAGGAGGGGGUGGUUGGUUCACAGAUCUGUCCCAUUGCAAUGAUAAACUGUAGCUGCUGCCAUUAAAUCAUCCCAGCCCUUCAUGAUGGGAACAAAGUGUGAGUAUGGGAUGACCACAGUUGGAAGGACUGGAGGAGGGAGUGCAGCCUUGAGCACUGUGCUUUGGCCAGAUCAUUGCUCCCAUUUUUUUCUCUAACAUGAGCAACAACUGUAUGAAAUGAAAAUAAUUGGAUGCUAAGCAGCCUAUUACCACGCUGACAUGAGAGGGAUUUACAUGGGUGACUCCCAUUAGCAGUAAUGUGUGGUCCCCUCCACGCUUUCACUGGGCUCUAGAUGCAGAAAAGAUUGUCCUAACAUUUCACUUAUGGGAAAGGUCAAGAGCUGUGGUUUUGUUCAGUGCGCUCGAUAUAUUCAAUUAAAAUAUACUGGCAUGUUCAUCAGCUAUUAACUGUCUUUGCAAUAGCUGUAAUUAAACAGAUGCUUAGGUGUGAAAGGAAAUCCUUCAAGAUGAGCUCUGACACAGAGGCUGAGGGGAGCAGGAACUUCCCGGGUCUCUGUUGUUGGUUUCUUCACAUCUGUUGACUCAGCCAACAGGACUUUUCCUUUCCUUGCUGCUGGGUGAAGGGGUGUUGUGCCCCUGACAGCCACCAGUUCCCUGCAGGGAAGAUGUGAGAGCAGAGAACGAGGGGCCCCUUCCCAGGGAGGGAUAGGAGGGUGGUAUACAGGGUCUGGCAUCCCUGGGUGGGGGGCAGCCAGGCACUGUUCGCAACCACACAACUUACAUGCAGAAGUACUUCUUGCUUACCAUGGAUAAGAGAGCAGGAGAGAGAAGUCUGCUUCAGCAUUUUUAGCAAACUCAGAGGUUUCAGAGAGUUUAGCAGCCGGUGGCCUCCGAUUCAAUGGGCUGUAGGGAGUUAAAAGCCACACACCCUGCUUUGAAAUCUUUCUCCAAAGAGGCUGAAAUGAAGAAAAGCUAGUGCAGAGUAGAGGAGUGAACUGAAGGAAGCAAAAAGUAAUUACUUGAGCCAACUGCUCUAAUUAUAUAGACACAGCAGAGCAAUGUGAUAGUAAUCAUUGGCACUCUUAAGAUGGAUGGGGGGGAAAUAGAGACAUAGUAGAAAAUAACACAGAAUGAGGAAUUAGUAUUCCUCAGAAAAGAAGCAUAGCAAGAACAACUGUGAGGAGUCUCAUUGCAGUUGAGGACAAGAAGGAGCUGAGCCCAGUGUGAUGUCAACACCAUACCUGCUCUUCACCAGGGACCCCUCAGGACCAAGUAAGCAGGGGGUAAGUGUGUGUAACGGAGGAAGGGAGGGAAGGAAAACAGGCAGGCAAGAAAGAGGGUGGGUAGGAGGAGGAAGGGAAAGAAGAGGGGGAGGGGCUGAGGCAGGGAAGGAAGGGAGGGGGGGAGGAAGGGAGGGUCCUUUGUCCACAACAGAAGAUUCUGUUAAAUGUGAGCCUACCUCAUGCAGCUGCUGGGUGGAACCAAGAUUGUGAGAAAACCUCCAGUACAUCUCUGAAAUUGAAGUGCUAUGCAAAGGGCUUGUGGUCACAUUCAGGAAGACUGAAGUAUCCCUUUGGUGCAUCAGUUUUUCAAGCAUGUUUCACAAGCUUGACCUCUGUAUGAAAAGGAGAGAGACGUGAGAGUUAAGUGACAGUUCAUUCACAGGAGACCAAGGCUGUGUAAGAGCCUGGGAGACUCUUGUUUCCCGUUUUUGUGCAGUGACAGAUGUUUUACCGGCAGCUCUGCUGUCCCUGGGAACAUCUGUGCAAUGGGGAACCAGCAGCAUUUGCACACUGAAGUUUCUCCUUGUGCUCACUGGCAGAAUAAAGGGGAAAACUGAGAAGAGCCAAGCCCACAAGUGGCUCUAAGCAGCAGCGCUUCCAGCCCACUUCUCCAGCUCUAGCUUCCUAUUCAGCCUGGCUCUGCGACUGUUCCAGCAGCGUGUGGACAGUACUGUGCUUGGCUGUUGUUAUUUCUCACUCAGUUAUGUCCUGCUCUUACAGCACUACAGAGAACAGAUGUGUAGGUUUACCUUGGGACAGAUACAUUAUGUAUACAGCAUUAACUUCACACCCAUCCAGUCCUCAUUUUAAUUACCCAGACAGUGGGGGACCAGGGGAGUUUUCUGGCAGAACUGUUGGGUUCAUUAGCAAUUCCCCAGACCUCGACUGGCUGCAAACAGCCUCACCCAUGUAGCACGAGCCUUCCAGUAAUCACCUAGAGAAAGUCCAAAGGCUGGUACACGCCUAUGGGCUUGUACAGGCUCCUUGCACCAGCCUGAGUCACACCACGAAUGAGUGCUUUGGCAGAAAGCCUCAGCAUGGCACAAAAUGUGGCCCACAGGAUGCUGGAAGACAAGUUGGGCUCAAAGCAUGGCAGUAGUUUGUCUGAUCUCUGACCCCUGCCAGGGGAACAGAAGUGUGACAGGUCCCUGUAGGCUGCAGCACUGUUAAUAAAAGCUUUUAGCUACACUCAGGGGAGGGGGCUGAUCUCACCAUCUCUCAGGUUUUAAUAGGUGGCAAAGCAUACCUACAGCAUUUGGUUUUGUCACUCAUGUGACACAUCUCCUCUUUGAACUGACACAAGCAAUGCCCUUAUGUUUUGUUAGCUCCAGAGGAACUCACAGCUUCAUUCUCAGAUGCUGAAAAUUCCUCCAAAUUCUAAGAGAGCUAAAUCGGAGUAAAAUACAAUAAAGUAGGUAGAACUGAUCUGAGCAAGUAGCAUUUCCUUCAUCAAGCCUGCUGCAUCAAAGCUGGGUGAGGAGAUGCUUCCUACAUUUGUGCCAUUCCCAAGAGGAGCAGAAGGGGAGGGCAUUGGCCCACUUCCCCCUUUGCAACCUUCCAGGUGGCAGCUGGCUCCACUGGCCCCGUCCUGAAGCCACCUCUCGUUAUCCCAGCCGCCCAUCUCCCUGCUCACUGUGCAGCUGCACAGCUCUGCUUCCAGCCCAGGGGACAAGUCAUCAAUAUUCAUACGUCAGGUGAAAUUAAAAUUGUCCCUGUGAGUUAUUCUGUGACACAAGCUAGCACUGGCUAUAUUAAAGCCUAUUAAUUAGUAUUUAACUAAUUCUUUUCCUAGUCCAUAAACAUGGAAUGCUACUGUAGAGCACAGAGGCAAUUAUUUUCUGAGGUGCUUCAAGAUAUUAUAACUUUCCAAGUUAUUAAAGCUGCAUAUUUGUUAGAAACAGCAUGACAACUCUGUCACUGUUAGAGCCACUCCACCAGGACUAGAAAAAUCCUGACUAGACUGCAGUAGGUCAACAAUUUGCAAGAAAUAUCAGCUGAAUCAGGAACCUGAGGUUUCAUAUCACUGGAACAUUACUUAUUAUGUGCACAAAGAGCCCUACCUCAGCAGAACACCACGCAUUACUUAGCAAGGGCCAGCAUGGCAUGCCUCAUGUUUCACUAACUUCCACCCUUUCAAGCUUAAUUCUUUGCUUAGUUAUUUAUCAUCUGCUUUCUGAACCGGGAAGGAAGGGCAUGCAGUGGGAUAGGUAGCAGAAGAGCUUUGCGUUGGCAGUGAGGAAAACCAGCUUCCUGCAAACAUGUUUUCAUUGCUUACCCCUUACUUCGACAUGAUGCAGCGAGUACGAAGGCACGUCUCCAUUGGUUUCUUCUUACUCUUCCAUCCAGCAGUGCUCCACAGCUGUGAGCUACUCCUGUGGCUGGUGUGUUGGUGUGCAGAGGUGGUGAGCUGCCAGGGCUGCCUUUUUCCUGCAGGAUCCAGCACAGCUACGUCCACACAUUGUAUAAAUACAUCCAUCCAGGGCUUUCCUCUUCACCACCACUGCCAAUGGAGAAGGAAAUACAUCUCAGAUUGGUUGAAACAUAACCCUAAGCAAGUCUCAAGGAGAAGUAAUAAAAUGCAUAAUUACUUGCAUGUCUCAGAACCUGUGGAGGACUUCUGAUGAAGGCUCCUUCCUUUCUGCUCUCCAGGUCACCACACCUGGAAGGGGCAGCCAUGCUUUUUGUCUCCACCCCUAUGUGGGUAGAUGACAUUUAUUCCAAGAGUGACUUUCUCAGUGGCCUUAGGAGACCUGGGAGGCUAAGCUCCCACACAAGAGCCCUGGUGGCCUUUUGGAAAAUUCAGCUCUUUGUUUUCCUGCUAAAGUGGAACAGGGGAACAGAGAAGAAGAACAACAACAACAACAACAAAAAACCAACCCAACAAUAUCCCUUUACUGAAGUUGUCAUGCAAUGAGUCAUUUGCUGUCUGAUGGGAGAUGGGCCAGCGUCCCUCUCCGCGCUGCAGUGAUUUGACUAAUUACUUCUCUCUGCUCCAGCAGAAAAGCAGCCUCCUCCAGCCUCUCUGCUGUCUGGGUCCUGUCUGUCAGCAGCAGAGAAGCAGGCAUCCUUCUGUUUGGGGCUGUGGCAUUUUGCCUGCUCCUUACCGCUGCUGACAGGCAGGACCCAAAACCAAGUGCUCAGUGAAAAGCUGGAUCCUGAGAAGCUGGGCUGGGCAGAAUAGGGCUCCAGGGCUGACACUCAGCUGGUCGGAUCUUCUCAGCAGAAGAUGGUUGUGGCUGCCCAUUUUUCUCCCCUAGAAUUUGAGUACUGAUCCUGUUUGGUAACAAUCAGAGGGCAAAGACAGUGCAGGUACAUGUGGGGCUAGCCCCCAGCUCUUGCAAAAUGCAGUGUUCCCCUCCAAGCUCCAAGGAGUUCCCCUCCUAAACAGGGCAAAGGACUCUUUCUUUAAUUAACAGGAACUGUUAAUUAGAGGUGAGUAUUAUUAAAGUAAAUUAGAAGAAAAAGGGAGCUGUGUAUGUAGUCUGAUUACAUUUUUUACACUAGUUUAAAAUCACUACUGUGAUUUUUAAUUAUAGUGGAUCAAAGAAAAUAACCACAUUAAUCCAGUGUAAUCACGUGCAAGCUGAUUUGAUAACAACAUUGUAUUUAAUUGGCAGUAAGCUCAGGCAACGUUAAAUGCAAAUGAAAAGCACUGACACAUUCUGAAGACUAAUUAAUGUGACAGGCUGGUAGCAAAUGCAUUGUUUAUUACUACUAAUUUCCAGUAGCUGUUCAACACCAUUUUGUUACCAUGAUCCCUUGUGCUGUGUCCAUCACUGCAUGAUAUUUAAAAAGAAAACUGAACAUGAUUUGUUUUAAGGAGGAACAAAGGAGUUCAAAGAUAAUUAAAUUACACAUUUCAAAUACCAAGCUGAAGACAAAGAGCUUUAAAAGAUGGGAUUUUUCACAUCGCAACUGUGAGUCCCCGUGAUACGUGCACAUAGCUCACGUUAAUGCACUGUAUCAGUGAUGGCAGACACUUUUUUUCCUGCACAUUUUAAUGUUGUUAACGAAUGGUGAUUUUUUCAGGUUCUGACACAACUCUCAGUGAGGUAAACACAGAGAUUACCCUCAGGACCCUGCCAAAGCCCAAUAAGUCAUCGGAAGAAUUUCCUCUGGCUCCAGUGGGCUCUCAAUCAUACCCUAAGCUUUUCAGAUGAGGACCUGUUAUCCUUUUUUUUAUGCUCAGGAAGUGCCUAGCAGAAAUGAAGAGCAUUCAUUCAGAUAAAGUCUUUUAAACACACCGUCCUGAGAGUCUGCUGAAGCUCUCCUGUAUGGCACGCGUUACGAUUCUCCUGCUUGGCUGCGCUACCUUCUUCACUUGGUUCUGGACCUUAAUGGCGCGUAUUUGUCACACCUUGUUACAGCCUUGGUCAAUAGAGUAAUGGAAUAAUCAAUCAUCUAUAUUUUAGCGUGUGGCAUAAUAAAUACAGUGCAUAAUAGUCAUUCAGGUCUUCACCAAAGAAAAGUUGAACAAUUACAGUGGUUGUCAAUUGUAAACUGCCUAUGAUAAGUAUGCAAACAUUGACCCCAAGUGUUACACUGAGAACAUGGAAAUUAAAAUCAUCUAUCUUACUUGAUUCAGAGCCUCCCACAUAGCAGGGUUGGUAUUUAAGGAAAACCUUGGCUGGACUCAGAUUGCUUCUUUCUGUUAGAUUAAAAUUAAAUUAAGUCAAAAUUUAGAAAAUACUGGUUUAAUUAAAGAUACUUCACCAGCUCAUAAAUUAUGCAUUCUCCUUCCCGUUGCGAAGUGUGAGUUUGAUGCUAGGUGUCAGCGCUGCGGAGGAUUCCUAAAGGUUAGUUCCCAUUUAUGUGCUGCAUAAAGCAGGCUUCUAGAAACGAGUGACUAAUUAUUGAAGUUACCAAAUUGCUACCCUGGCCUGCUUAGCAAAUGCGCUCCCCUGACUUCAGCAAAAGCAGUUUUCUCUGGUGGCUCAGUCCAAGUAUGCAAAAUGUGACCGGGGAAAGAGACCUUGGCCAAAAGCAGACAUUGGCUUGGAAUCAAGCAUGACAAAUAUUAAUAGAUAAUUAUCCAGAAACUAAUUAUGAAUUGUAAAAACUCCGGCUAUCUUACACAGACCACUGCAAGGAAGAGUAUCUAUCUCUGUUUCAUUGCACAGUGGCAAAUGGAGAAUCCUCCCAAAGUAGCUUUCCUCAUCCUCUUACUCAUGCACAUCAACUAAAGACAUUUUCAUUUGAAUGAAAGGAAACAAUUUUAGUGGUGAAGGUGAUCCCUCAUUGAAAAAAAAAAAAAAAAAAGCUGCAGAAGAUAGAUAGAAAAUAGAGCAUCCAUUAUCCCCUAACACGGAUACCUGCUGGAUCAGCUGCUGUGUUGUAAAGCAGCUGCUACAGAGAGAAAGGAGCUCAUUGGCACCUUGCUGCCGGGAGUGGCAGCGGUUCCAGUGGAGGUGCUCCCAGCACAUCCUUCAAGGUGCAGUCUUCCCACAAAGGGUGGCUGUGGUUGCCUGAACCGGGGCUGAAUCAACACCCAGCGCAGCCUGAAAUGGCUGGAAAAUCCACUUAUGUGUGAUCCUGGCCAUUAGUGGGGUGCUGGGGGGCAGAUCACAGCGCUGAGCCCUUUGGCCCACCUCAUACCACAUUUUAGAAAGCUUUGCAGAGCUACAGCAAUCCCUCUGAGAGAAUUAGGAGCCCCUGAGCUGAUUAUUCAGAUAAAGGCACAGUGAGAUAAGUUCUGGUAUCAUCAGAAAGGGUGCAAAACACUGUCACACGAGGGAGAGCCGGGCGGGAUGUGAACUCUAUUUAAGCAGUCCCCGGGUAAACCAGCUCGCAGCCGACUGUCAGCUCCCUUCGAGCAGCGCCUUUGAUUGCAGCGCUCCGUGAAGGAGCACUUGUCACUUUUUAUCGAAGGAGAGGGGAAGAAAGCAAGGCAGCCCGCUGCCGGGAGAGGAGAUGCCACUCACUGUUCAUCUCUGCUAUAGACAGCUGCGGUGCCCCGGCUGCUGGUGAUCAAGGAGCAAGAAAAAGAACUGCACAAGUCUGCAGUGAGCACAGAGUGGGGAGGGAAGGCCCCACAUUCUGCUCAAAUCCGGUACCGAAAUGUCUGAGCCAGGGGAUGCAAGGGCUGGGAUAAAGGGCAGGUUCAGGGUGACCCAGAGCAAAGCUUUAAGUCCUCUUAUAACAAAAGGGCCAUAGACUGCUUGGCACUGUCUUGCUGGGGGCUGGUUGGCCUUUCCAGCAUUGGGAGUGCUCAUGGCAAGGGAGCAAAGCCACAGCACAGCCUGUCCCACACCUUUGCCUUCCCUUGGAAUCAAGCUUGGAGCUGUUCAAUGAAAUCAGGCCUGGGGAGCUGGAGUUCCUUACUCAUGGUAUUGAAGUCUUGUGAUCAUAUCUUUGCAAACCAGCCAGUGGAAGACAACAACACAGAGGCACAUGAGCUCAGGUAAUGAGAGAGCAUCUUUACCUGCCUUUGUUUGUCAGGAUCCUGCUUGUUCUAGAUAACAAUCAGCAAACAGAGAGCCAUGCAUGGAAGGCAAAGGCAGAGAAAGUCCAAUUUCCCCUCAGCCACUGGUGCUUGUGCUAAGAGCUACUCUGGCACAUUAAAAGAGACCAGAGAUGAUAGUGGUAACUGAAAAGAUGGAGGGAGUGGCUCCACAGACAUAGAAGAGACCAAAAUGCAAGGCAGUGUCAGAGCAUCCCCGUCACCACAAGGCAGAGCAUUUCCCACCAGAGCUGGGAAAGCUGGUAUUUAACAGCUGGGUCCUGCAGACAAACCGAUGUGCUUCUGUGGUUUUGUUGCUUAUAGCAAAGCAGAAAAUAUUUAUACCUAUUAUUAUUUUCCUAAAUUCAGCUUAAUUUUUGCCAGAUGUGUCUGAAAAGCCUGUGCAGAUUCCAGGAGGACUCUCUGGACACACUUCCCCACCGCACUUGGCAGCUCACCAUGGCACACAGCCGCGGUGGCAGCGAGGCUGUGACACCGUCCCAGCUGCGCGGUUCUGAGGGUCGCACCCCUGCGCAGGAGCAGGAGUCACAAAUGGUGCGUGUGUCCUGAAGCACUGAUGGGUCAGGUCACCACAAUCACUGACCCGCUCGCUUUAACGGCAUCAGAAUGAGAUAAGCAUAAUGUGCUGCAGAGGGUGGCUAGGCGGAGAUCUGAUUUUUUGGUUGUUGCUAGUGGUCGUUAGUCUGCUAGACAUCCUAAUGCACAUUGCAUAUGCUCAUGCUGUACGUUCCUUUGAAUAUGAGCACAGGGGGUCAAGCAAAACUGCUAAACUGCUACCAAUAUCAUCACCCUGUCUCAGGGCAGCACGUAGCCACCCAGACCCACAGCAGAGACCCAUUGUGCUAAGGUAUUACACAGCCCUUUGGCAGCGGAUGGUACCAACGUCACCUUCUACACAUGCAACCAAAGGGUGCAGGAGCAAGCACAGGACAGCCCUCCACGUGGAAGAAGAGGAAGGGAGCCACUCCAAGCCCUGAAUAUUGAGUUAUCAUCUGGACCUGGCUACAUUUCCCUAAGACUCACUUCAGUUCAUCCCACUGGUGGAUAGGUGACAUAUGGAAGUCUUCACGCUCCUGGCUGCCUUGCCAGAGGUCACAGCCCUUUAUUCUCCUCUGGUAAGGUGGGGGCUGGUCCUGGAAGCAUCGUGGGCUCUUCCCAUCGUAUCUGCCUUGUGAUUGCAUUAGCUCCCCACUGUGCACUUAUACAAAGGGGAACGGCUCCAGGAAGAAGCUGCCAGCUUCAAAACCACAGGAUGUUUUCCUACAGUAAAAACCCCACUGCAGUCCAGGGCUGGAUCAUGCUGCAGGCGCUGAUCCCACCAACAUCCAGUUGUCCGUGGGAUGCUCCCACCAGCGAGGAGGGGACCCUCUCAUGUCCCAGGAUGAACAGGCCCAGGCAAGGGGCACAGGCAUCACGGGGAAAGUUCUGUGUAUCUGUGGGGACGGCCCAGUGCCUGCCAGGGGACACAUGGCCAGAGCCAGCCCUGCCCAUGACACAGCUGCUGGGGAGCAGGGGGCUGUGCAUCACCCAUGGGACGCAUCUGUAUGCAGCUCCUCUGUUGAGUAAAGCAAUGAAAAUCCUUUUUCAUUGUCUACCGAGGGUUGGGGGUUUUUUGUCCUUUUUGUUCCUUUUUGUUUUUAAGAGAGACUGCAGAUCUUGCCUGUCCCAGGAAACACAUUAUAAAACUGCAAUUUGCCUGUCUUGGCUCUCUCACCCUAGCAUUGACCCUAAAGAUGAACUCCCAUGAAUAAGUCUAAUCCUGUUUUUCAUGUUUCCCCAGGUAAAUGAAUAUUUAUGAAUCUUUUCUCCAGAGCCAAAGCACGGCCCUUACAACCGGCCAUGAUAGUUCAAUUUGUUUUCUUGCCAAUUCUUCAAAUUGUUUGUUGUUGUUGUUGCUGUUCUUUUUGAAACUUAGGAGAAAAAAAAAUCUCAUUCCUGGUCGGUUCUUAUCAAAGCAUGUGGGGUUUUUUGUUUUUUGUUUUUUGUUUUUUUUAACUCAGCUGGUGCUUGGAGGCUUUCCAAUCGGCUUGAAUGAUUAAUGUGGUGCCACUGACUUGUUUUGUGUUUGUAUUGAAAAAAAAAAAUAAAAAAUGCACAAUUCAUGUUUUCCAAA